CUCAGGCAUGUCUUGCACCAUCUCCAUAAGCUCCAUUUGUCCUUGUGCAAUAGCUUUGCUCCUUGAAGGGUUAGAAGCCGUUGAACAAAAAGGUGUGGUGUUUGGUGAACCCCAGAAACUGAAUUCUCUGUCUCCUCCACUCUCGUGAAGAGAGUGUGUUUGGUGGGUUGUGUUCAUGUUUGAGGGAGGAGUGAAGGGACAAAGAAGAACAUGGUAUCGAAUAUAAGUGUUGGGGAAAGAUGUUGUCUUUUUCUUGCUCUUUUUUUCUAUGGAAUUUGUAAUGAACAAGUCGUUGCCGUCUUGGAUGGGAGUAAAAGUAAAUGGUCCAAUAUGUUCAUUUUCCACACCCAUCCUUUGGAUUAUAUUUCACGUUGUUUUAAAGUCCAUGUUCUAGUGUUCUGUUCUGAACAUUUUCAGUUGUCAAACUUGUAGUGAUGAAAAUAUUAGUUAACAUGAUUUUUAUAACUA